rnacentral:rRNA from 1 species
CCUACGGGAGGCAGCAGUGGGGAAUAUUGGACAAUGGGGGGAACCCUGAUCCAGCGACGCCGCGUGAGUGAAGAAGUAUUUCGGUAUGUAAAGCUCUAUCAGCAGGGAAGAAAGAGAUGACAGUACCUUACUAAGAAGCCCCGGCUAACUACGUGCCAGCAGCCGCGGUAAGACGUAGGGGGCAAGCGUGAUCCGGAUUUACUGGGUGUAAAGGGGGCGGAGACGGCGAUGCAAGUCUGAAGUGAAAGGCGGGGGCCCAACCCCCGGACUGCUUUGGAAACUGUAUGGCUGGAGUGCAGGAGAGGUAGGUGGAAUGCCUAGUGUAGCGGUGAAAUGCGUAGAUAUUAGGAGGAACACCAGUGGCGAAGGCGGCUUACUGGACUGUAACUGACGUUGAGGCUCGAAAGCGUGGGGAGCAAACAGGAUUAGAUACCCUGGUAGUC